CUAAUUUGCUUAGACUUUGUCCUAUCGCAGAUUAUUCAAUACGGACCAUCUGUGUAUGCUUGGCUGACUGUUUUAAGCUAUUACCACGAUCUGCGCUUGUUUCACGAAGAGGAAAAGAAAAAGAGAAUUCAAGAUUCACAUAUCUUAACUGGAAGAAGAACUAGAAACAAUGCGGCUCCAGAAAUUGAUUUUAUUGCAAAGACGCUUGAGAGAAGUUCGUUGAAAAACUAUUUAAGUGAAUCCAGUUUGAACUCUAACAUUUUAAUAAUUGGUAAAAGUGGAGGUAGCAAUAUUUCAAUAAAAUCCUCUAGAUCCUUGGAUUCCGUCUUAAAAACGAAGUCAAAAGUUCAGGUUUCUCAAUUCAACAGUAAAGGGGAGG